rnacentral:rRNA from 1 species
AUUGAACGCUGGCGGCAUGCCUUACACAUGCAAGUCGAACGGCAGCGCGUCCUUCGGGAUGGCGGCGAGUGGCGAACGGGUGAGUAAUACAUCGGAACGUGCCCGAGAGUGGGGGAUAACGCAGCGAAAGCUGUGCUAAUACCGCAUACGAUCUCAGGAUGAAAGCAGGGGACCGCAAGGCCUUGCGCUCACGGAGCGGCCGAUGGCAGAUUAGGUAGUUGGUGGGAUAAAAGCUUACCAAGCCGACGAUCUGUAGCUGGUCUGAGAGGACGACCAGCCACACUGGGACUGAGACACGGCCCAGACUCCUACGGGAGGCAGCAGUGGGGAAUUUGGACAAUGGGCGAAAGCCUGAUCCAGCCAUGCCGCGUGCAGGAUGAAGGCCUUCGGGUUGUAAACUGCUUUUGUACGGAACGAAAAGGUCUUUCUAAUAAAGAAGGCUGAUGACGGUACCGUAAGAAUAAGACACCGGCUAACUACGUGCCAGCCCG